rnacentral:lncRNA from 1 species
AUUUGUAACAAAAAUCAAUGAAAACGAUGACUCAAAUUGCAACAACCAACACUGAUUUAGCUAUUUUUCUUUUCGAAAAUGUGUUUUUAACACCCUUAUUUGACACAAAUUUGACACCGGUCAGGUGUCAAAUUUCUAUUGGUUUUUUUCUUUUAAAUGGAAAUGGGUUUUUUAAAAUCUGACGAGAGUAGAAUAGGAAUUCUGAAGAUAUGAAAUUUCGUUUGGUGGUUCCUUUUUAUUCUCUUUCACUUUGUUUCUGAAGCUUCUUGUCUCCCAUCACUCUUUCCAUUCCCGGUUGCUUCAUCUCUCCAAUCCUUUGGUUUCUCUGUUGCACCGUUCGUCUCAUCUCAACCCAAAAAAAAGCUAUCUUUCGUAAGGUAAGCUCUAUUUCAUCUAUCCCCUUUUUGGGUGGCUUUGGCGUUGUGUGUGUGUGUUUUGUCAUUUCGUCCCCUUCUCGCAUUGUGUGGGUUCUCUUUCUGUAUCAUUUUGUCCCCUUCUCGCAUUGUUCUCUUUGGUGUUAUUUAUUCAUUUUGUGUUUUGUGAACCCUAAGCCACCAUUGAUUUUUUUGGUC